rnacentral:rRNA from 1 species
AUACGGAGGUUGCAAGCGUUAUUCGGAAUCACUGGGCGUAAAGGACGCGUAGGCGGGUUGUCAAGUCAGAUGUGAAAUCCUACAGCUUAACUGUAGAACUGCAUUUGAAACUGCUAACCUAGAGUAUGGGAGGGGGAGAUGGAAUUAGUGGUGUAGGGGUAAAAUCCGUAGAUAUCACUAGGAAUACCGAAAGCGAAGGCGAUCUCCUGGAACAUAACUGACGCUAAGGCGUGAAGGCGUGGGGAGCGAACAGGAUUAGAAACCCUUGUAGUCC